GGUUGAAGGUUGGGUAACACUAACUGGAGGACCGAACCGACUAAUGUUGAAAAAUUAGCGGAUGACCUGUGGCUGGGGGUGAAAGGCCAAUCAAACCGGGAGAUAGCUGGUUCUCCCCGAAAGCUAUUUAGGUAGCGCCUCGUGAAUUCAUCUCCGGGGGUAGAGCACUGUUUCGGCUAGGGGGCCAUCCCGGCUUACCAACCCGAUGCAAACUGCGAAUACCGGAGAAUGUUAUCACGGGAGACACACGGCGGGUGCUAACGUCCGUCGUGAAGAGGGAAACAACCCAGACCGCCAGCUAAGGUCCCAAAGUCAUGGUUAAGUGGGAAACGAUGUGGGAAGGCCCAGACAGCCAGGAUGUUGGCUUAGAAGCAGCCAUCAUUUAAAGAAAGCGUAAUAGCUCACUGGUCGAGUCGGCCUGCGCGGAAGAUGUAACGGGGCUAAACCAUGCACCGAAGCUGCGGCAGCGACGCUGAUGCGUUGUUGGGUAGGGGAGCGUUCUGUAAGCCUGUGAAGGUGGCCUGUGAGGGUUGCUGGAGGUAUCAGAAGUGCGAAUGCUGACAUAAGUAACGAUAAAGCGGGUGAAAAGCCCGCUCGCCGGAAGACCAAGGGUUCCUGUCCAACGUUAAUCGGGGCAGGGUGAGUCGACCCCUAAGGCGAGGCCGAAAGGCGUAGUCGAUGGGAAACGGGUUAAUAUUCCCGUACUUGGUGUUACUGCGAAGGGGGGACGGAGAAGGCUAUGUUGGCCGGGCGACGGUU
rnacentral:rRNA from 1 species